AGUUUCAGAUAAGCAUGUUCAUUUCAAGAAACACACUCUGUGAGUGAGUGGUAUUGAACGCUGCUCCUGUGAAUGAAAAGUCAGCCAUGUUUACCCCUCCUCCUUAUACUGCCUUGUGUCUGGGAGAUAGACAUCUAGCUGGAGCAGGAGUCUUCCUGCUGUGCCCUCUUUGUGGAAUUGUACCAGAAUGGUGUAUCAAGAUCAUGCAGAAAUAUGCUGCAGACUGACAAACCAUACAGGAAUCAGACAUUCAUCUUGAGUGAGUUUGGCGGCUUUCGUUCUUGCACCAGAAAUAAUAUUAGACGGAGAGCCUUUUUGGCUGAACCUAGAGGCCAGAACAUCACACUGUUGGGCGAAAUCAACUUCAAGAGUACAGU